UACGGAGGGGUCAGCGUUGUACGGAAUUACUGGGCGUAAAGGGCUCGUAGGCGGCCAACUAAGUCAUACGUGAAAUCCCUCAGCUUAACUGGGGAACUGCGUGUGAUACUGGAUGGCUUGGAUUUGGGAGAGGGAUGCGGAAUUCCAGGUGUAGCGGUGAAAUGCGUAGAUAUCUGGAGGAACACCGGUGGCGAAGGCGGCAUCCUGGACCAAUAUUGACGCUGAGGAGCGAAAGCCAGGGGAGCAAACGGG
rnacentral:rRNA from 1 species